ACUAAACAUGUUUCCAGUUCUAUAAUCCAAAAUUGUGAUCGCACAUUUAUAUCCAUCUACCACUUGUGUUGGCUAAUUUUAGAGCCAUCUGGAUCUUUGAUUUGAAAGAAGGCCAUUACAUAUCUUAUUAGACAUUCAGAAGUUACUGAUUAAUUACAUAAUUUAUUGGCAUGUAAAGCCUGAGCAUAUGAGGUUGUAGCUGGCUACGUACUAUAAUAAUACAAACCGACGUCCAAACAUAUAUUCCACACCCUCUAGCUAUUAAAAUAUCACAUAGAGAUCAAUUAAUUAUUUGUCCCCGCCUCCAUUCCCUUCGUUAUUUCCAUCAACUCCUGCUGGAGGAUUAUUGUAAUCAGGUCUAGGUAUGCUAUGAUGGUUAUCAAUCGUGAUCCCUGAGGACCCAAGAGUGCUUUUUGCCUUGGCAAUAUCUUCUCCAUAGGUUUGAUCCAUAAGGGCCAUGUCACGCAUGGUUGAAGUUUUGGUCAUCAUGGUCAUAUGAAGAAGAAGAAGAAGAGCUAUUAACUUCAUCUUUGAUUUCGAUCGGUUGCUGUUUGACGUUGUCAAUACAUACAAUUUAGCAACAAUAAACAUGUAAAUCAGUUCUAUAUAGGAGUAUAGUCAACAGUAACCAAUCAAAGAUGAAGAAAAAGAUAAAUAUAUAAGAAUUACACACCUAGAAAACGCUUUGCAGAUUUGAGGGUCGAUUUAUGCUAGAAAUUAAG
rnacentral:lncRNA from 1 species